GGCCCAUCGGGCAGCAGAUUCGUAAACAAACAUCUGCGGGACAGUA
rnacentral:ncRNA from 2 species